GAUUAAGCCAUGCAUGUCUAAGUAUAAGCAAUCUAUACGGUGAAACUGCGAAUGGCUCAUUAAAUCAGUUAUCGUUUAUUUGAUAGUACCUUACUACAUGGAUAACCGUGGUAAUUCUAGAGCUAAUACAUGCUAAAAACCCCGACUUCGGAAGGGGUGUAUUUAUUAGAUAAAAAACCAGCGCCCUUCGGGGCUCCUUGGUGAUUCAUGAUAACUCAACGAAUCGCAUGGCCUUGCGCCGGCGAUGGUUCAUUCAAAUUUCUGCCCUAUCAACUUUCGAUGGUAGGAUAGUGGCCUACCAUGGUAUCAACGGGUAACGGGGAAUUAGGGUUCUAUUCCGGAGAGGGAGCCUGAGAAACGGCUACCACAUCCAAGGAAGGCAGCAGGCGCGCAAAUUACCCAAUCCCGACACGGGGAGGUAGUGACAAUAAAUACUGAUACAGGGCUCUUUCGGGUCUUGUAAUUGGAAUGAGUACAAUUUAAAUCCCUUAACGAGGAACAAUUGGAGGGCAAGUCUGGUGCCAGCAGCCGCGGUAAUUCCAGCUCCAAUAGCGUAUAUUAAAGUUGUUGCAGUUAAAAAGCUCGUAGUUGAACCUUGGGCCUGGCUGGCCGGUCCGCCUCACCGCGUGUACUGGUCCGGCCGGGCCUUUCCUUCUGGGGAGCCGCAUGCCCUUCACUGGGCGUGCCGGGGAACCAGGACUUUUACUUUGAAAAAAUUAGAGUGUUCAAAGCAGGCCUUUGCUCGAAUACAUUAGCA
rnacentral:rRNA from 1 species